rnacentral:rRNA from 1 species
GACGAACGCUGGCGGCGUGCUUAACACAUGCAAGUCGAGCGGUAAGGCCCUUUCGGGGGUACACGAGCGGCGAACGGGUGAGUAACACGUGGGUGACCUGCCCUCAGCUCUGGGAUAAGCCCGGGAAACUGGGUCUAAUACCGGAUAUGACUCCAUGACGCAUGUUGUGGGGUGGAAAGCCUUGUGCGGCUGAGGAUGGGCCCGCGGCCUAUCAGCUUGUUGGUGGGGUGANGGCCUACCAAGGCGACGACGGGUAGCCGGCCUGAGAGGGCGACCGGCCACACUGGGACUGAGAUACGGCCCAGACUCCUACGGGAGGCAGCAGUGGGGAAUCUUGCGCAAUGGGCGAAAAGCCUG